GCGAGGCCGAAAGGCGUAGUCGAUGGGAAACGGGUUAAUAUUCCCGUACUUCUUACAAUUGCGAUGGGGGGACGGAGAAGGCUAGGUGGGCCUGGCGACGGUUGUCCAGGUUCAAGUGCGUAGGCUUAAGAGUUAGGUAAAUCCGGCUCUUUUUAAGGCUGAGACACGACGUCGAGCACCUACGGGUGUGAAGUCAUUGAUGCCAUGCUUCCAGGAAAAGCCUCUAAGCUUCAGAUUGUAAGGAAUCGUACCCCAAACCGACACAGGUGGUCGGGUAGAG
rnacentral:rRNA from 1 species